GAAUUCAUCUCCGGGGGUAGAGCACUGUUUCGGCAAGGGGGUCAUCCCGACUUACCAACCCGAUGCAAACUGCGAAUACCGGAGAAUGUUAUCACGGGAGACACACGGCGGGUGCUAACGUCCGUCGUGAAGAGGGAAACAACCCAGACCGCCAGCUAAGGUCCCAAAGUCAUGGUUAAGUGGGAAACGAUGUGGGAAGGCCCAGACAGCCAGGAUGUUGGCUUAGAAGCAGCCAUCAUUUAAAGAAAGCGUAAUAGCUCACUGGUCGAGUCGGCCUGCGCGGAAGAUGUAACGGGGCUAAACCAUGCACCGAAGCUGCGGCAGCGACACUAUGUGUUGUUGGGUAGGGGAGCGUUCUGUAAGCCUGUGAAGGUGUGCUGUGAGGCAUGCUGGAGGUAUCAGAAGUGCGAAUGCUGACAUAAGUAACGAUAAAGCGGGUGAAAAGCCCGCUCGCCGGAAGACCAAGGGUUCCUGUCCAACGUUAAUCGGGGCAGGGUGAGUCGACCCCUAAGGCGAGGCCGAAAGGCGUAGUCGAUGGGAAACAGGUUAAUAUUCCUGUACUUGGUGUUACUGCGAAGGGGGGACGGAGAAGGCUAUGUUGGCCGGGCGACGGUUGUCCCGGUUUAAGCGUGUAGGCUGGUUUUCCAGGCAAAUCCGGAAAAUCAAGGCUGAGGCGUGAUGACGAGSSACUACGGUGCUGAAGCAACAAAUGCCCUGCUUCCAGGAAAAGCCUCUAAGCAUCAGGUAACAUCAAAUCGUACCCCAAACCGACACAGGUGGUCAGGUAGAGAAUACCAAGGCGCUUGAGAGAACUCGGGUGAAGGAACUAGGCAAAAUGGUGCCGUAACUUCGGGAGAAGGCACGCUGAUAUGUAGGUGAAGCGACUUGCUCGUGGAGCUGAAAUCAGUCGAAGAUACCAGCUGGCUGCAACUGUUUAUUAAAAACACAGCACUGUGCAAACACGAAAGUGGACGUAUACGGUGUGACGCCUGCCCGGUGCCGGAAGGUUAAUUGAUGGGGUUAGCCGCAAGGCGAAGCUCUUGAUCGAAGCCCCGGUAAACGGCGGCCGUAACUAUAACGGUCCUAAGGUAGCGAAAUUCCUUGUCGGGUAAGUUCCGACCUGCACGAAUGGCGUAAUGAUGGCCAGGCUGUCUCCACCCGAGACUCAGUGAAAUUGAACUCGCUGUGAAGAUGCAGUGUACCCGCGGCAAGACGGAAAGACCCCGUGAACCUUUACUAUAGCUUGACACUGAACAUUGAGCCUUGAUGUGUAGGAUAGGUGGGAGGCUUUGAAGUGUGGACGCCAGUCUGCAUGGAGCCGACCUUGAAAUACCACCCUUUAAUGUUUGAUGUUCUAACGUUGACCCGUAAUCCGGGUUGCGGACAGUGUCUGGUGGGUAGUUUGACUGGGGCGGUCUCCUCCUAAAGAGUAACGGAGGAGCACGAAGGUUGGCUAAUCCUGGUCGGACAUCAGGAGGUUAGUGCAAUGGCAUAAGCCAGCUUGACUGCGAGCGUGACGGCGCGAGCAGGUGCGAAAGCAGGUCAUAGUGAUCCGGUGGUUCUGAAUGGAAGGGCCAUCGCUCAACGGAUAAAAGGUACUCCGGGGAUAACAGGCUGAUACCGCCCAAGAGUUCAUAUCGACGGCGGUGUUUGGCACCUCGAUGUCGGCUCAUCACAUCCUGGGGCUGAAGUAGGUCCCAAGGGUAUGGCUGUUCGCCAUUUAAAGUGGUACGCGAGCUGGGUUUAGAACGUCGUGAGACAGUUCGGUCCCUAUCUGCCGUGGGCGCUGGAGAACUGAGGGGGGCUGCUCCUAGUACGAGAGGACCGGAGUGGACGCAUCACUGGUGUUCGGGUUGUCAUGCCAAUGGCACUGCCCGGUAGCUAAAUGCGGAAGAGAUAAGUGCUGAAAGCAUCUAAGCACGAAACUUGCCCCGAGAUGAGUUCUCCCUGACUCCUUGAGAGUCCUGAAGGAACGUUGAAGACGACGACGUUGAUAGGCCGGGUGUGUAAGCGCAGCGAUGCGUUGAGCUAACCGGUACUAAUGAACCGUGAGGCUUAACCUU
rnacentral:rRNA from 1 species